UCGUGUAACCGUGUACGACUAAGUUCCAAAUGUAAACAAACACUUUGGUGGUGCUGGUGAUUCUAGGCAGCAGCCAGGAAUCGGACGCGAAAACCUUCGUGAGCCAAACAGCAGCAGCGGAACGCCUUCGAAGGAGGGUGGUGCGGGUGCGGGACGAGGAUGGGAGGUAGGAAUGUGGAUUCGCACCGGUUGUAUUCGGUGGUGGUGGCCCGGGAUUGGUGAUUGAAGGUCAAUUCCCGCGAGGACUGUAACGAGAUCAUCAAGGAGAUAAUGCUGCCGAAGAGUUGCGUGAACAACGAGAUUGCGUUGAAGAAGAUAAACAUCUGGUUUUUGGACAAGUACGAGACAGGUGAUUUUCACGGUGAGGAGAAGGAGCCGACGAAGAGGAGGACGUCGAGAAGCGGGAUAAUCGGAGGUAGCCAGAGCGGAUGUUGCACUCGGUGCCGGCGGUUUACAACACCUCUCCAGCCGAAUGAACCCUGGACAGCGUGCCGAAAAAAUCGGGUCUCCUACGAAAGGCCGAAUCUCAAAUGGCCGAAUCCCGAAAGGCCGAAAUUCAAAAGGCCGAAUUACUCGAAAGGCAGAAUUCUCAUAAGGCCGAAUCCCAAAAGGCUGACUUCGUUUGUAAUGCGUUUCCGCCUUUUAGUGCGCGGUUUGCUGUUAUUAUUUUUAUAAAUUAUAGUUAUGUAAUAAACAUUGGUUUUGAAAUAAAGAAGGCAUAACUUUCUAGCAUUGCUGAUAACUAAAUUUUAAAAGUUUCAAUUUAUUAAAAGUUACAAAAAAUUAAUUGUAAUUAUUUGAAUUCAUUUAAGUACUUGGUGACGAAUGAUGAAAUUUCGGUUAUCGUCACCAUAACUCAAUAAACAACAAGAUUGAAAAACUUUUGAAAUGCUUUAAUUCAUUUUACUCUACUCACUUGUAUGCAUGGUAGCAAUAUGAUCGGUAAAGAUAAACAGAAUGUACUCAUUAUGUACUAAUUUCGCUUAAAAUUAUAUAAAAGAACACAGUUUGUAAGUUUACUUUAUCUUUGAAUAUCAUAAUCAAUGAAAAUCAUGAAAAUAUGAACAAAAUUCUGAAUUCCAUAAUCAUUCUGCCUUUCGAGACAUUCGGCCUCUUGAGACGUUCUGCCUUCUGGGCAAAAGACAAAAUUCGGCCUUUUGAAUUUCGGCCUUCCGAGAUUCUGCCUUUUGAGUUUCAGCCUUUUGAGGCAAUCCCAAAAAAUCUGUGUCAUUCUCGAAGGAGGAUGAAGUGCUCGAAAUCGAAUUCCGUUCCGAGGGCCUCAUCAACCCAAUCUUCCGGAUGCGCUUCCAGAAUCGUGAACUCCCCGUUCAGGCACUUCACUUUCCAGCCAGGAAACGUCGCUCACCCUCAAUAUCCUUUUUUUAUUUCUCGAUCGAAAUGUUAGGUAUAAAGAGAGAUGUGAGCUGGUAACAUGGAGUUAAACUUUCGCAACUGUCAUGGUAAACUUCACAGCUGCUUAAAAUAAAGUUUAACUCCAUGUUUUAAUUUUUCGAUAGAACGUUUUGUAAAAGAUAGCGAGAUAUGUAUUUAAGACGAUCUUUUAUGUGUUAAUCGAAUAAUGUUCAACAAAUGAGUUAAUUCUCCUUGAUGUGUCACACCUCAUUUAAUCGUCCACCUUUGCCUUGACAAUCUGUAAUGGAAACCCUAUUCCGACCAACGUUGACAAAUUAUUUUAUGGGAAAUCUGUAUUUUCUUAAAAAUAAUUCUGUAUUUUAUCUGUAUCAUGUCAAAUUCGAAGCAAUAGAGGAUUUUUUUAGACUUUUCACAACAGAUUUAAGCUUUUUAAUCAUAUUAAAGCAUAAUUCAAUUACUAAAUUAUUGAAAUUUUCAAAUUAAAUCAUAUUUAAAAAAUCUGUUUAUACAGAUUUUUGUGAUUUUUGGGAUCAAAAAUCUGUAUAAUACAGAUUUAUCUGUAUAUCUGGCAUGGCUGAUUCCGACCAAACACCGAAAAUCCAAAUAACACAGAUCUGUGUAAAAUUUGACACAGAUCGCUCAAAACCUGGAAUACACAGAAUCUGUGUAAAAGCCUUGUACACAGAACUGUGUACAACCGUUGUCUGUCAAAUCUGUGUAAAAUUUUACACAGAUUCUGGGUAAAAUAUUA